rnacentral:rRNA from 1 species
GACGAACGCUGGCGGCGUGCCUAACACAUGCAAGUCGAGCGGAAGACUUCGGUCUUCAGCGGCGGACGGGUGAGUAACACGUGGGUAACCUGCCUCAUAGAGGGGGAUAGCCUCCCGAAAGGGAGAUUAAUACCGCAUAACAUCAUGCUAACGCAUGUUAGUGUGAUCAAAGGAGUAAUCCGCUAUGAGAUGGACCCGCGGCGCAUUAGCUAGUUGGUGAGGUAACGGCUCACCAAGGCGACGAUGCGUAGCCGACCUGAGAGGGUGAUCGGCCACAUGGGAACUGAGACACGGUCCAGACUCCUACGGGAGGCAGCAGUGGGGAAUAUUGCACAAUGGGCGAAAGCCUGAUGCAGCAACGCCGCGUGAGUGAAGAAGGCCUUCGGGUUGUAAAGCUCUGUCUUUUGGGACGAUAAUGACGGUACCAAAGGAGGAAGCCACGGCUAACUACGUGCCAGCCGCCGCAGUAAUAC